GAUGAACGCUGGCGGCGUGCCUAAUACAUGCAAGUCGAGCGCAGCGGGGACGGGGGAGGAACACGUAGAGAACCUCCUUUAAGACUGGGAUAACGUCGGGAAACCGGAGCUAAAACGGCUACUCAUAGAUGGAUCCGCGCUGCAUUAGCUAGUUGGUAAGGUAACGGCUUACCAAGGCAACGAUGCAUAGCCGACCUGAGAGGGUGAUCGGCCACACUGGAACUGAGACACGGUCCAGACUCCUACGGGAGGCAGCAGUAGGGAAUCUUCGGCAAUGGGCGAAAGCCUGACGGAGCAACGCCGCGUGAGUGAUGAAGGUCUUCGGAUCGUAAAACUCUGUUGUUAGGGAAGCGGUACCUAAUCAGAAAGCCACGGCUAACUACGUGCCAGCAGCCGCGGUAAUUC
rnacentral:rRNA from 1 species